GGGUAAUACAAUUGUGUUUCAUAAUUAAUUUUAACUUUGGAGAUAAUACUAAAAACAAGAUCAGUAGAGAAACAAAUUCAUGUGGUGAUGGGAAAAUUACAUAGCUCUGGAGAUUACCAAUUUAAACAAGGGCUGUGGAAUUUUAUUUUGGGCCCCAACACUAUGGUAAUUAUUCACAAACUCCGAAAGUAGUCAUCAGUUGUGGAAAAUUUCAGUGUAUGCAUAUGCCACGCAAUGAGCAACUGUCGUGCUCAACCUCACCCGGAGAGUAGCUUCACAAUGAUAAUGGUGAUGUUUAGAAUUAUAAGUGGUAGUCUCAUAAACUGGCAAGCAUGUAUGAGUCCAAUGAUCUGCCCCUUGAUUGUAUCUCUUUUCCCCCGCUGGAGAUCUGCCAGCGUCAAUCCCCUUGGAGCAAGGAACCUGUCUUCAUUCAAUAUUGCUAAUCCAUUUGCAAAAAGCAGAAGACCUUCCAUGAGAGUCCAGAAACCCAUUUUCAGAGACAAGAAGCAGCAAGCAGUUUAGAUGAAGCUAAACUCUUUAGUAUUAGCUCUGUUUUCGACAACCUAGAAGGUAUCGAAUCCGUACAAGA
rnacentral:misc_RNA from 1 species